AGCCCAAUUUUGUUGAGAUGAUUUUUGCUGUGUGUAUUUUUAUUUUAUUAUUAUUAUUAUUAUUAUUAGCCUACAUUUGCAAGCUUUAUAACGUUACAUUAGUCAUAGCUGUGACUAGUGUUUGAAACUGCACACUGGUGUGUAUUUGUGUCUUGUACAGACACCGUUUGCGGUCAGUUGGUGGAAAGUCUAGCGACACUUACAUCUCUGUCUUUAUGCUCAGUUCGGAUGAAAGCGUUUGCUAAACGAUCUAACGUAAAUGUAAAACAUAGUGAACUUUAAAGUGUCUCCUGCCGCGUAAAGCUACAGUACAAACAGACCCCUGAUUGUAUUUUUAGGCAAAUUGUCAACUGGUGCUUAUUACAUUUUCCAGAUGAUUCAGUGGAAACCCCUGUGACUGUGUUUAAUUCUGCCUAACAAGUCUCAGCGUUUCAUGAUACUAAAUUAGAUUUCACUCUUUUUUAGAUCUUUUUAUGUGCUCAUGGUAAGCACUUAUCCUUUAUGUCGCCAACAGUGAACUGCGAUGUAUAAAUAAACCACAUCAGGGUUCUUUUUUUUUCCCCUGUGAUAUUUUUUAUCCCCAAUUUUUUUUCCCCUGUAAGUUAUUAACGUCCUAUUUUUGCCUGUCCUUCCAUUCUUGGUUAAUGAGGCUGAUCUUGUGCAGAAAUUUGUCCUCAGAAAUGCGUCAUGCUAGUCGUUCGAAACAACCAAGGAGAAGAUGUCGGCUUUGUUUUAUUUGAUUUUAUUCUGUGUUAAGAGCCAGAUUUCUUGGAAUACAUUAAACCGUGAAAUUCUAUGAAGUAAAACAUUUAAAAGUCUAUACAAACUUAAAUCUGAAGUGGGAUUGUGACGAUAUUUAAGAAUGCAUGAUCAUCUACUUCAAAUAAAGUGCAGGGUGACUCGAGGCACAAGUCAGAGACACUCUGGAUGGAGCGCCACCUCACUACAAGGGAUGAUAAAAGCUCAGACUCAUGCCAGGCCCCCUUUGCAAACACUGCUGUGACAAAGUGCUGGCUCAGUGGCGUGCCUGAGAAGAAGAAAAGCUCGACAUUACGAAUAGAAAUGAUCUAUUGAUCAGGGGAGUGUUUGCUCACUUAAGACCUCGCCUGCUCAUGGAUGGCUGCGUAUGACAAGGAAAUGGUUGCCCCUUUUUUUUUGUGUGCGUGUGUGUGUGUGUGUGUGUGUGUGAGUGAGAGAGAGAGGAAACAUGCAUCUUGUCAGAAAAAACUUGUUUCAUACUGUAGAUGUUCCAAGACUAUAAAUGUAAUUAUAUUAUAUUAUGUAAUUAUAUUAUAAAUGUAAUUCUAUUAUAUUAAAUGUAAAUAAAUGACAUUUAUUUAAUAAACGAUGUUCUUGAAGAACCCGAUGGAGAACGUGGUGGAAAAGUUAUUCCACUUCACGCUUCACAUCUCACCACGACAUCGUCGAUUACUUUCCUCUUAACUUUUAAAUUUUUGUAUAAUCCAUUAUAUAACAUUAUACACACGAUUCCCAUAGCUCAUAGCCACAAAACACGGCUCGAACAACAAGGCCGGAGUUAGUUCGACUUACUCUGACGCGCCGUGUCAAAACUUUCAGUCUUUGAGCUUUAUUCACAGAAUUCUGACACUGUUGCUUUGAUUAGAGAAGCUCACGCGGCACUGGGGUUUUAGUGAAAGAGUUUUCAAGGUGCUGCAAAAAAAAAAAAAAAGCUAUUGAUUUUUCAAAGUCAGGUGCAAAGAGGCCUUGAUGUUGAACUCCAUCUCUCUCUCUCUCUCUCUCUCUGUCUCUCUCCAUCUCUGUGCAUUGAUAAAACUCUCUUUCUUUAAUGCUACAAACUGUCAGAACUUUCAUGUUCUCCCUGUUUCCCUUGGACAGCUUAAAACGAAAACUGACAAUUCAUAAGCGCGUUUUAUAACACGCAUUCAGCCAACACAACAAAAUGUGUCUUUAAAAGA